GACGAACGCUGGCGGCGUGCCUAAUACAUGCAAGUCGAACGCAGUGGGGACGGGUGAGUAACACGUGGGUAACCUCCCAUCAGAGGGGAUAACACUUGGAAACAGGUGCUAAACCGCUAUUGAUGGAUGGACACGCGGUGCAUUAGCUAGUUGGUGAGGUAACGGAUCACCAAGGCCACGAUGCAUAGCCGACAUGAGAGGGUGAUCGGCCACACUGGGACUGAGAAACGGCCCAGACUCCUACGGGAGGCAGCAGUGGGGAAUAUUGCACAAGGGGCGCAAGCCUGAUGCAGCCAUGCCGCGGGUGUGAAGAAGGCCUUCGGGUUGUAAAGCACUUUCAGCGGGGAGGCGUUACCCGCAGAAGAAGCACCGGCUAACUCCGUGCCAGCAGCCGCGGUAAUAC
rnacentral:rRNA from 1 species